AUGGCUGGUGUUCUAACGUGGGCCCGUGAACCGGGUUGCGGACAGUGUCUGGUGGGUAGUUUGACUGGGGCGGUCUCCUCCUAAAGAGUAACGGAGGAGCACGAAGGUUGGCUAAUCCUGGUCGGACAUCAGGAGGUUAGUGCAAUGGCAUAAGCCAGCUUGACUGCGAGCGUGACGGCGCGAGCAGGUGCGAAAGCAGGUCAUAGUGAUCCGGUGGUUCUGAAUGGAAGGGCCAUCGCUCAACGGAUAAAAGGUACUCCGGGGAUAACAGGCUGAUACCGCCCAAGAGUUCAUAUCGACGGCGGUGUUUGGCACCUCGAUGUCGGCUCAUCACAUCCUGGGGCUGAAGUAGGUCCCAAGGGUAUGGCUGUUCGCCAUUUAAAGUGGUACGCGAGCUGGGUUUAGAACGUCGUGAGACAGUUCGGUCCCUAUCUGCCGUGGGCGCUGGAAGAUUGAGGGGGGCUGCUCCUAGUACGAGAGGACCGGAGUGGACGCAUCACUGGUGUUCGGGUUGUCAUGCCAAUGGCACUGCCCGGUAGCUACAUGCGGAAGAGAUAAGUGCUGAAAGCAUCUAAGCACGAAACUUGCCCCGAGAUGAAUCUUCCCUGAGCCUUUAAGGCUCCUGAAGGAACGUUGAAGACGACGACGUUGAUAGGCCGGGUGUGUAAGCGCAGCGAUGCGUUGAGCUAACCGGUACUAAUGAACCGUGAGGCUUAACCUUACAAC
rnacentral:rRNA from 1 species